rnacentral:rRNA from 1 species
AUUGAACGCUGGCGGCAUGCUUUACACAUGCAAGUCGAACGGCAGCGCGGGCUUUGGCCUGGCGGCGAGUGGCGAACGGGUGAGUAAUGCAUCGGGACGCGCCCAGUAGUGGGGGAUAGCCCGGCGAAAGCCGGAUUAAUCUCGCAUACGAACUGAGGGUGAAAGCGGGGGGCCGAAAGGCCUCGCGCUAUUGGAGCGGGCGAUGUCGUAUCGGCUGGUUGGUGGGCUAAAGGCUUACCAAGGCUAAGAACCGUAGCUGGUCUGAGAGGACGACCAGCCACGCUGGGACGGGAGCACGACCCAGACUCCUACGGGAGGCAGCAGGGGGGAACUUUGGAGAAUGGGAGCAGCGCUGAUCCAGCCAUGCUGCGUGAGGGAAGAAGGCCGUCGUGCUGUAAACCGCAUGUGUGCGGGAAGAUAGCCACGGUCCUAAUCCCGCGGUGGGAAUGAGGUACCGGAAGGAUAAAGACCGGGCUACUACGUU